ACCAAGCACAAGUUUCAACCACGAAAUGAGUGGGCAGUCGAUCGGGCCACCAAGGCCUGAAAUGUAAGGAAACAAUGCCAUGGAUGGAGGCUCAGGCUAAAAAGUGAUCCCGAUCCUCAUAACCCAAAGGAAAUCCAACACCAAGCUCGAAUACAUUAAGGUUGAAGGGCACAGGCUCAACUCGUUGUACGUACGAAUGUCACAACCCGAAAGGUAAAACAAUAGAAGCUUCAAAAGUUCAGGCACAAAAAAGCCGGGAAAAGGCGCCACUGCGAAUCGUCGUCAUCCAAAACUCGUCCGUGCCAUCUUUGUUUAUAUGCCAUUUUCGGAUAUCAACGUGUCCGAUUGUGGAAACAAGUCUUUCAAGAGUAGCAAAGAAACCGUACAGCUCACGAUAGGACACGCCGUAACAGGGCUAACCUGCAAAAGUUACCAUUCACUUUGAUGAACACAAAAUUAAACUUGCCUUUGACCUGAAGCAAAGCUCCUUCAACAGGCCUUGAACUAGAAGGGAAGCAAGAAACGAAGAGCACUAAUGAGUUUGAAAAAAGCGAGGAAAGAAACGAAAGCAACUUAGCCAGGGGAUUUACAAACAAUCGAAACGGCAUUGAAAACUUGUGGAAAAGCAUGACGGCACAUGGAGCGACUACAAUUGCCUACUGGUCAAGCAAGCGAUGCCCUUAAUUAAGGGCCAUAAGGGGGAUACGAAUGUUCCCAGUAAAUGAGGAAGCCAGCUGUGUACCUAGCGAAAUAACGAAGGAAUUUUUGUGGGAAUGGACGCACGUAUGAACGCCACAAUUGACGCGGCUUCUACGUUUCCGAGAAAAUACGGUGCUUCCACAUAGGUUCAUUUAGGCCGACUGAAAAUACAUAAACAAGGUACAGCUGUUGCUGCUCUGCACAACACGAACGUUUGCGCUGUCGGCAGCGUCGGAGGAGGUGCGAAGUUGAUGCCUCUUUUGAUUGCUUUGACCGUUUCGAGGAGAAGUUCUAAUAAUGAGAUGAUUAAUAAUAAUAAUAAUAAAACAAGUAGAG